rnacentral:rRNA from 1 species
UACGGAGGGUGCAAGCGUUGUUCGGAAUCACUGGGCGUAAAGCGCGUGUAGGCGGCCAUCUAAGUCUGGUGUGAAAGCCCUGGGCUCAACCCAGGAAGUGCACUGGAUACUGGAUGGCUGGAGUACCGGAGAGGAGGGUGGAAUUCCUGGUGUAGCGGUGAAAUUCGUAGAUAUCGAGAGGAACACCGGUGGCGAAGGCGGCCUUCUGGACAGUGACUGACGCUGAGACGCGAAAGCGUGGGGAGCAAACAGG